GCCCAUAUAGCUCAGUGGCAGAGCACUUCCUUGGUAAGGAAGAGG
rnacentral:tRNA from 1 species